UCCUGAAGAGGAAAGGAGAGGUGGACAGAAAGGGAGGGCACAGGCAGCAAGUUUAGCCGGAGCUACCAGAACUGCUACCUACACAAAAAACUGCUUUCACUUGCCACCGCUCCCCAGGCAAUACAGAGGAUACAAAAUGCAUGCUGAAGAAUUUGUGAAGUAAUAAGAUGUCCAGUAUUUGCUUCUAAAUAAUCUAUCGGGUUUAUUUAGAGACAGAGGCAGGCAGCACGUGAGUAAAGUGAGAGGAAGUGGAAGAGAACAAUGACGGGAAUGGAGGAAUGAAGAAGAGGUGAGUCCCAACAUGGGAGAAAGAAAAGAAUGGAUCUUGAAGCUUUUGCUGGUGGAUGAAGAAGAAAAACUCUGUACCCAGCACACGUUUGGCCACGUGACACGAGCAAAGAUCAAGGAAUUUAACCUUUGAUAUGAGUCAUCUAAAACAAUACAGACAGCAAGACUACCCAUCACAGCCUCUGGAAAAGGCACCUGACUAGACAAGCUUUUGCCUGAUGGAUGUGGACUAAUCCCAAAGAACAAAUGUUUCAUUGUGAAUUAUGUUUUGACCAUAUACCAACAGUUGACAGCAUUUAAAGAGCUGCAGAGGUUUUUAAAGACUUUUUCAAAUGUUCUCAUCACAGAACUCUCCAAGGGCAGAUAUACAUUUCAAAAACAACACGCUGAAGAAAACAUACACAUACACACACACACACACACUGGCCCAAACGUAGUAAAACGUGAUCACAAAAACAAUAAUUCUUGGUAAAUUUAACCAGUUAGAUUUAAUUCUUUGUUGACCUUUCUCCACACAAACAUCCUACUAUUGGUCUUAACAUCUAACCAAGCCCCAGUUUAUAUAGUAAGAAAUCGGAUAUUCUAAAAUUCUAUCUUCUUAGAAAUCAGUCUUACAUACAUGAAAUAGGAAUUUUAUCUACUUAGUAAAUGUAUUUUUCUCAACCAAACUUUCUGCCCUAAAAGCACCAAUACCUAUAGAGAACAUAAUAUAGACUCUAAAUCUAGUGUUAUCAUUGGCUCUGCUACCUACCACUUUAGAUAUAUCUUGUAACUGUUUUUGUGAUUGUUUUUGUGAUUUGCCAACAUGGGGUAUAAAAUAAUGCUGAAUCUUUUUUAAAUACCCAAAUUAAAUAACUCUGAGCUCUACUCUUCUAUUGUAAAAAUGUAUUGCCUCCCUCUUUGGGGUAUUUCACAUCCCAUACUAAAAGAACCCAAAGAGGCUUCCUCUGCUGAAGGUAUCAGUCCUGGUUAUUAUCCUCACGAUGGAAGAAAACUGGAAACUAUGAGGAGCUCAUUCACUGAAGAAUGCCAGGAUCUGGUGCAGUUGCUGCUGGUAAAGUGCUUGUGGAAAGCACGUGGUUUGAUAGUGAGAUUCAAUCUUUGGUCACUGCUGCAAGAAUAGUGGUGAUUUAUCACACUUGUAUUUGGCCACCCAUCACUGAAGAAAGGGACCUGGGCACCAAUUCACAUCAAUGCCACUGGUCAGGCAGGAGUUUCUCAAGGUGAAUUAUUUUCUUAAAAGAAUAUAUGUAAAAACAACAGUCACUAUACAACAAGGCACACUUUUUAGU